AUUGAACGCUGGCGGCAUGCUUUACACAUGCAAGUCGAACGGUAACAGGCCUUCGGGUGCUGACGAGUGGCGAACGGGUGAGUAAUGCAUCGGAACGUACCCAGAGGUGGGGGAUAACGCAGCGAAAGCUGUGCUAAUACCGCAUGUGAUCUGAGGAUGAACGCGGGGGACCGCGCAGCAAUGUUUGGCCUCGCGCCUUUGGAGCGGCCGAUGUCGGAUUAGCUAGUUGGUGGGGUAAAGGCCUACCAAGGGGACGAUCCGUAGCUGGUCUGAGAGGACGACCAGCCACACUGGGACUGAGACACGGCCCAGACUCCUACGGGAGGCAGCAGUGGGGAAUUUUGGACAAUGGUCGCAAGCCUGAUCCAGCAAUGCCGCGUGCGGGAAGAAGGCCUUCGGGUUGUAAACCGCUUUUGGCAGGAACGAAACGGUGUCCGCUAAUACCGGGCGCUAAUGACGGUACCUGCAGAAUAAGCACCGGCUAACUACGUG
rnacentral:rRNA from 1 species